GAGCGGAGAGAAGUAGCUUGCUACUGAUCUUAGCGGCGGACGGGUGAGUAAUACUUAGGAAUCUGGCUAUUAGUGGGGGACAACAUUUCGAAAGGGAUGCUAAUACCGCAUACGUCCUACGGGAGAAAGCAGGGGAUCAGUAAUGACCUUGCGCUAAUAGAUGAGCCUAAGUCGGAUUAGCUAGUUGGUGGGGUAAAGGCCUACCAAGGCGACGAUCUGUAGCGGGUCUGAGAGGAUGAUCCGCCACACUGGGACUGAGACACGGCCCAGACUCCUACGGGAGGCAGCAGUGGGGAAUAUUGGACAAUGGGGGGAACCCUGAUCCAGCCAUGCCGCGUGUGUGAAGAAGGCCUUAUGGUUGUAAAGCACUUUAAGCGAGGAGGAGGGUACUGGUAUUAAUACUACCAGCUACUGGACGUUACUCGCAGAAUAAGCACCGGCUAACUCUGUGCCAGCAGCCGCGGUAAUACAGAGGGUGCGAGCGUUAAUCGGAUUUACUGGGCGUAAAGCGUGCGUAGGCGGCUAAUUGAGUCGGAUGUGAAAUCCCCGAGCUUAACUUGGGAAUUGCAUUCGAUACUGGUUAGCUAGAGUGUGGGAGAGGAUGGUAGAAUUCCAGGUGUAGCGGUGAAAUGCGUAGAGAUCUGGAGGAAUACCGAUGGCGAAGGCAGCCAUCUGGCCUAACACUGACGCUGAGGUACGAAGCAUGGGGAGCAAACAGGAUUAGAUACCCUGGUAGUCCAUGCCGUAAACGAUGUCUACUAGCCGUUGGUCUCUUUGAGGGAUUAGUGGCGCAGCUAACGCGAUAAGUAGACCGCCUGGGGAGUACGGUCGCAAGACUAAAACUCAAAUGAAUUGACGGGGGCCCGCACAAGCGGUGGAGCAUGUGGUUUAAUUCGAUGCAACGCGAAGAACCUUACCUGGUCUUGACAUAGUAAGAACUUUCCAGAGAUGGAUUGGUGCCUUCGGGAACUUACAUACAGGUGCUGCAUGGCUGUCGUCAGCUCGUGUCGUGAGAUGUUGGGUUAAGUCCCGCAACGAGCGCAACCCUUAUCGUCAGUUACAAGUGUCUGACGAGACUGCCCCCGCUCUGCGGGGGAGGAAGGAGAGGACGACGUCAAGUCAGCACGUCCCUUACAUCUAGGGCUACACACAUCCUACAAUGGAGCCGACAACGGGUCGCGACGGGGUAACCCUGAGCCAAUCCUUAUAAACGGCUCCUCAGUUCAGAUUGAGGGCUGCAACCCGCCCUCAUGAAGCCGGAAUCGGUAGUAAUCGCAAAUCAGCAGGUUGCGGUGAAUACGUUCUCGCUCCUUGUACACACUGCCCGUCAAGCCAGCAAAGUUGGCAGGGCCCGAAGCGGAUGACUCUAACUCGCAAGAGAUGAGCUCUUCUACGGCCAGGUCAGCGAUGAGGACU
rnacentral:rRNA from 1 species